AAAGGUUUACCAAAUUAAUCGUUUAAUGGAGCAUAGACUCAAUCCAAGAUGACUCUGAACAAGGGAAAUUUCCUCUCAAAUGUCCAUGAUGACCCGGUUAGUCUAGAGAACAUAGUAUUUAUACCAUAACAAGCGUUCCAAUCCAUGGAGUAAGGCAGGAAAUGGCAUCCGCAGGUAAGAUCUUCAUGUUGAUCAUAGUCAUCAUAGCUCAUGUGUUCUUAGCAACAGCAUAUGCAGCCACUCAAGGCCAAUCGCAGGUUUAUACAUCCAGGAUUCCUUUUGUAGAGCGUAGACGUUAUUGCUCUCCACCGCCUCCACCUUCGUCAGGGCCAUUUACUAAUCCCUAAGCUUCUUAUUUAUACUCUCAAGUCUGUGCUUCUUUUAUUCAGUAUGGCUGUAAACAGGAAUGCGAACUUGUAAAUUCCUCCAUAUGAUUGCAGUAUCCGUUAAUGACUAGCAAUGGAAUAUUGUGCUAAAAUAAGAGAGGGAUAUAAUUCGUAUCUUAAAUGAAGCCACUCCCUUCAAUUCCAUGAACUCCUUUUAUUCAUUGUAUUUUUCUUAUGAUAUGUUUUUUAAAAAAAAUAUGACUUACUCAA